rnacentral:rRNA from 1 species
GUGCUUAACACAUGCAAGUCGAACGGAAAGGCCCCUUCGGGGGUACUCGAGUGGCGAACGGGUGAGUAACACGUGGGUGAUCUGCCCUGCACUCUGGGAUAAGCCUGGGAAACUGGGUCUAAUACCGGAUAGGACCGCGCGCUUCAUGGUGUGUGGUGGAAAGCUUUUGCGGUGUGGGAUGGGCCCGCGGCCUAUCAGCUUGUUGGUGGGGUAAUGGCCUACCAAGGCGACGACGGGUAGCCGGCCUGAGAGGGUGUCCGGCCACACUGGGACUGAGAUACGGCCCAGACUCCUACGGGAGGCAGCAGUGGGGAAUAUUGCACAAUGGGCGCAAGCCUGAUGCAGCGACGCCGCGUGGGGGAUGACGGCCUUCGGGUUGUAAACCUCUUUCAGUAUCGGCGAAGCUCCGUGGUUUUCUGCGGGGUGACGGUAGGUACAGAAGAAGCACCGGCCAACUACGUGCCAGCAGCCGCGGUAAUACGUAGGGUGCGAGCGUUGUCCGGAAUUACUGGGCGUAAAGAGCUCGUAGGUGGUUUGUCGCGUUGUCCGUGAAAUC